GGGGUGCUAGAGUGGCGAACGGGUGAGUAACACGUGAGUAACCUGCCCUUGACUUUGGGAUAACUUCAGGAAACUGGGGCUAAUACCGGAUAGGAGCUCCUGCUGCAUGGUGGGGGUUGGAAAGUUUCGGCGGUUGGGGAUGGACUCGCGGCUUAUCAGCUUGUUGGUGGGGUAGUGGCUUACCAAGGCUUUGACGGGUAGCCGGCCUGAGAGGGUGACCGGCCACAUUGGGACUGAGAUACGGCCCAG
rnacentral:rRNA from 1 species